rnacentral:rRNA from 1 species
GACGAACGCUGGCGGCGUGCUUAACACAUGCAAGUCGAACGGAAAGGCCCUGCUUUUGUGGGGUGCUCGAGUGGCGAACGGGUGAGUAACACGUGAGUAACCUGCCCUUGACUUUGGGAUAACUUCAGGAAACUGGGGCUAAUACCGGAUAGGAGCUCCUGCUGCAUGGUGGGGGUUGGAAAGUUUCGGCGGUUGGGGAUGGACUCGCGGCUUAUCAGCUUGUUGGUGGGGUAGUGGCUUACCAAGGCUUUGACGGGUAGCCGGCCUGAGAGGGUGACCGGCCACAUUGGGACUGAGAUACGGCCCAGACUCCUACGGGAGGCAGCAGUGGGGAAUAUUGCACCAUGGGCGGAAGCCUGAUGCAGCAACGCCGCGUGCGGGAUGACGGCCUUCGGGUUGUAAACCGCUUUCGCCUGUGACGAAGCGUGAGUGACGGUAAUGGGUAAAGAAGCACCGGCUAACUACGUG